UACAGAGGUCUCAAGCGUUGUUCGGAUUUAUUGGGCGUAAAGAGCUCGUAGGCGGCUCAUUGCGUCAACCGUGAAAACCAGCAGCUCAACUGUUGGCUUGCGGUUGAUACGGGUGGGCUGGAGUUCGGUAGGGGAGACUGGAAUUCCUGGUGUAGCGGUGAAAUGCGCAGAUAUCAGGAGGAACACCGGUGGCGAAGGCGGGUCUCUGGGCCGAUACUGACGCUGGAGGAGCGAAAGCGUGGGGAGCGAACAGG
rnacentral:rRNA from 1 species